rnacentral:rRNA from 1 species
UAGGGAAUCUUCCACAAUGGGCGAAAGCCUGAUGGAGCAACGCCGCGUGUGUGAUGAAGGCUUUCGGGUCGUAAACACUGUUGUAAGAGAAGAAUGACAUUGAGAGUAACUGUUCAAUGUGUGACGGUAUCUUACCAGAAAGGAACGGCUAAAUACGUGCUAG